CAGGACUCGCAAGACUCCUACAACCCUGUGAACUUAACUAUAAGCACGUUGCUUCGGCGGGUGUCUCGGAGCGGGUUCUCCCCCCCCGGGGCGCUAAGCCCGCCGGCAGCCUACUAUACUCUGUCUCUUUGCGUUGGCAUCUCGAGUACAAUCAAACAAGUUA
rnacentral:misc_RNA from 1 species